rnacentral:rRNA from 1 species
ACGAACGCUUGCGGCGUGCCUAAGAAAUGCAAGUCGAAUGGGGUGGGGUAGCAAUACUCCAGUGGCGAACGGUCGCGUAACACGUAAGCAACCUGCCCUAAAGUGGGGGAUAACGACCCGAAAGGGUCGCUAAUACCGCAUGUGGUCAACGGAUGGCAUCAUCUGUUGUCUAAAGAUUUAUCGCUUUGGGAUGGGCUUGCGGCCUAUCAGGUAGUUGGUGGGGUAACGGCCCACCAAGCCGACGACGGGUAGCUGGUCUGAGAGGACGAUCAGCCGGAUUGGGACUGAGAUACGGCCCAGACUCCUACGGGGGGCAGCAAUUAGGAAUCUUGCACAAUGGGGGAAACCCUGAUGCAGCGACGCCGCGUGGGGGACGAAGGGUCUCGGCCUGUAAACCCCUUUUGACAGGGAAGAAGGAUGUGACGGUACCUGUCGAAUCAGCCCCGGCUAACUACGUGCCAGCAGCCGCGGUAAUACGUAGGGGGGCGAGCGUUGUCCGAAUUUACUGGGCGUAAAGCGCGCGUAGGCGGUUCUUUAAGUCUGGGGUGAAAGGUUCAGCGCUCAACGCGAACAGUGCCCUGGAGACUGGGGGACUUGAGUGUGGCAGGGGGGACCGGAAUUCCUGGUGUAGCGGUGAAAUGCGUAGAUAUCAGGAGGAACACCGGUGGCGAAGGCGGGUCCCUGGGCUAACACUGACGCUGAGGCGCGAAAGCGUGGGGAGCGAACGGGAUUAGAUACCCCGGUAGUCCACGCCGUAAACGAUGAGUGCUAGGUGUCGGGGGUAUCGACCCCCCCGGUGCCGUCGCCAACGCAUUAAGCACUCCGCCUGGGGAGUACGGCCGCAAGGUUGAAACUCAAAGGAAUUGACGGGGGCCCGCACAAGCGGUGGAGCAUGUGGAUUAAUUCGUCACUAACCGAAGAACCUUACCCAGGUUUGACAUCUAUCGCACCGGGGUGAAAGCCUCGUUCCCUUCGGGGACGGUAAGACAGGUGUUGCAUGGCUGUCGUCAGCUCGUGUCGUGAGAUGUUGGGUUAAGUCCCGCAACGAGCGCAACCCUCACCUGAUGUUGGCAGCGUAAAGUCGGCAACUCUUCAGGAACUGCCCGUGCAAGCGGGAGGAAGGUGGGGACGACGUCAAGUCGGCAUGGCCCUUACGCCUGGGGCUUCACACAUGCUACAAUGGCGCUACAGACCGCUCCGAGACCGCGAGGUGGAGGAAAUCGGACAAAAGCGCCCUCAGUUCGGAUUGCAGGCUGCAACUCGCCUGCAUGAAGUCGGAGUCGCUAGUAAUCGCAGAUCAGCAACGCUGCGGUGAAUACGUUCCCGGGCCUUGUACACACCGCCCGUCACGUCAUGAAAGUCGGUAACACCCGAAGCCCAUGGCCCAACCCGUUUACGGGAGGGAGUGGUCGAAGGUGGGACUGGCGAUUGGGACG